rnacentral:rRNA from 1 species
GGAUAACCUACCCUUAGGACUGGGAUAACCCUGGGAAACUGGGGAUAAUACCGGAUAGGCAAUUUUUCCUGUAAUGGUUUUUUGUUUAAAUGUUUUUUCGCCUAAGGAUGGGUCUGCGGCCGAUUAGGUAGUUGGUUAGGUAAUGGCUUACCAAGCCGUUGAUCGGUACGGGUUGUGAGAGCAAGAGCCCGGAGAUGGAACCUGAGACAAGGUUCCAGGCCCUACGGGGUGCAGCAGGCGCGAAACCUCCGCAAUGUGAGAAAUCGCGACGGGGGGAUCCCAAGUGCCAUUCUUAACGGGAUGGCUUUUCAUUAGUGUAAAGAGCUUUUGGAAUAAGGGCUGGGCAAGACCGGUGCCAGCCGCCGCGGUAACACCGGCAGCUCUAGUGGUAGCAGUUUUUAUUGGGCCUAAAGCGUCCGUAGCCGGUUUAAUAAGUCUCUGGUGAAAUCCUGUAGCUUAACUGUGGGAAUUGCUGGAGAUACUAUUAGACUUGAGACCGGGAGAGGUUAGAGGUACUCCCAGGGUAGAGGUGAAAUUCUGUAAUCCUGGGAGGACAGCCUGUUGCGAAGGCGUCUAACUGGAACGGUUCUGACGGUGAGGGACGGAAGUUAGGGGCGCGAACCGGAUUAGAUACCCGGGUAGUCCUAACUGUAAACGAUGCGGACUUGGUGUUGGGGUGGCUUUGAGCUGCUU